UAGUGGUGUGACAUGCCCGUUGGGUUAAUACUCUAAUGCAUGUUUAUUUUAUUAAUUAAUUGAUUAUUGGGAACGGGGUGUUACACUUUC
rnacentral:pre_miRNA from 1 species